AUUGAACGCUGGCGGCAGGCCUAACACAUGCAAGUCGAACGGUAACGGGAAGAAGCUUGCUUCUUUGCUGACGAGUGGCGGACGGGUGAGUAAUGUCUGGGAAACUGCCUGAUGGAGGGGGAUAACUACUGGAAACGGUAGCUAAUACCGCAUAACGUCGCAAGACCAAAGAGGGGGACCUUCGGGCCUCUUGCCAUCGGAUGUGCCCAGAUGGGAUUAGCUAGUAGGUGGGGUAACGGCUCACCUAGGCGACGAUCCCUAGCUGGUCUGAGAGGAUGACCAGCCACACUGGAACUGAGACACGGUCCAGACUCCUACGGGAGGCAGCAGUGGGGAAUAUUGCACAAAGGGCGCAAGCCUGAUGCAGCCAUGCCGCGUGUAUGAAGAAGGCCUUCGGGUUGUAAAGUACUUUCAGCGGGGAGGAAGGGAGUAAAGUUAAUACCUUUGCUCAUUGACGUUACCCGCAGAAGAAGCACCGGCUAACUCCGUG
rnacentral:rRNA from 1 species